rnacentral:rRNA from 1 species
AAAAAUGACUCUCGGCAACGGAUAUCUCGGCUCUUGCAUCGAUGAAGAACGUAGCGAAAUGCGAUACUUGGUGUGAAUUGCAGAAUCCCGUGAACCAUCGAGUCUUUGAACGCAAGUUGCGCCCAAAGCCAUUUUUUUGGUUGAGGGCACGCCUGCCUGGGUGUCGUG